GUGGGGAAUAUUGGGCAAUGGGCGAAAGCCUGACCCAGCAACGCCGCGUGAAGGAAGAAGAUUUUCGGAUCGUAAACUUCUAUCCUUGGUGAAGAUAAUGACGGUAGCCAAGAAGGAAGCCCCGGCUAACUACGUGCCAGCAGCCGCGGUAAUACGUAGGGGGCAAGCGUUGUCCGGAAUGAUUGGGCGUAAAGGGCGCGUAGGCGGCCUGGUAAGUCUGGAGUGAAAGUCCUGCUUUUAAGGUGGGAAUUGCUUUGGAUACUGUCGGGCUUGAGUGCAGGAGAGGUAAGUGGAAUUCCCGGUGUAGCGGUGAAAUGCGUAGAGAUCGGGAGGAACACCAGUGGCGAAGGCGACUUACUGGACUGUAACUGACGCUGAGGCGCGAAAGUGUGGGGAGCAAACAGGAUUAGAAACCCCUGUAGUCC
rnacentral:rRNA from 1 species